GGUUAGCGCGCCAGCUUCGGGAGUUGGAGGUCGCUGGUUCGAAUCCAGUCUCCCCGA
rnacentral:tRNA from 1 species